rnacentral:ncRNA from 1 species
UGACCUCAGAUCAGAUGUGGCGACCCGCUGAAUUUAAACGUAUUAGUCAGCGGAGGAAAAGAAACUAACAAGGAUUCCUUCAGUAAUGGCGAGUGAAGAGGGAAGAGCCCAGCGCCGAAUCCCCGCCCUGCGGUGGGGUGCGGGACAUGUGGCGUACAGAAGCCCCCCUCCCCGGCGGCACUCUCGGGGGACCCAAGUCCUUGUGAUCAAGGCUGCAGCCCGCGGACGGUGUGAGGCCGGUAGCGGCCCCCCAGCGUGCCAGGCCCGGGGCUUCUCGGAGUCGAGUUGCUUGGGAAUGCAGCCCAAAGUGGGUGGUAAACUCCAUCUAAGGCUAAAUACCGGCAUGAGACCGAUAGCCAAGUACAGUAAGGGAAAGUUGAAAAGAACUUUGAAGAGAGAGUUCAAGAGGGCAUGAAACCGUUAAGAGGUAAACGGGUGGGGCCUGCGCACCAGACAACUCUUAGUGGUGGAUCACUUGGCUCAUGUGUCGAUGAAGAACGCAGCUAGCUGUGAGAAUUAAUGUGAAUUGCAGGACACAUUGAUCAUCAACACUUCGAACGCACUUGUGGCCCUGGGUUCCUCCCGGGGCUAUGCCUGUCUGAGCGUUGCAUAAAAUAAAAAUUCCAUCAUCUAUCAGCAGUUUCCAUCAUCUAUCAGCAGUCCUGGUUAACAGGGGAGGUC